rnacentral:rRNA from 1 species
CCUACGGGUGGCAGCAGUGAGGAAUAUUGGUCAAUGGACGAGAGUCUGAACCAGCCAAGUAGCGUGAAGGAUGACUGCCCUAUGUGUUGUAAACUUCUUUUAUAUGGGAAUAAAAUGUUCCACGUGUGGGAUUUUGUAUGUACCAUAUGAAUAAGGAUCGGCUAACUCCGUGCCAGCAGCCGCGAUAAUACGGAGGAUCCGAGCGUUAUCCGGAUUUAUUGGGUUUAAAGGGAGCGUAGGUGGAUUGUUAAGUCAGUUGUGAAAGUUUGCGGCUCAACCGUAAAAUUGCAGUUGAAACUGGCAGUCUUGAGUACAGUAGAGGUGGGCGGAAUUCGUGGUGUAGCGGUGAAAUGCUUAGAUAUCACGAAGAACUCCGAUUGCGAAGGCAGUUCACUGGACUGCAACUGACACUGAGGCUCGAAAGUGUGGGUAUCAAACAGGAUUAGAUACCCCAGUAGUC